rnacentral:rRNA from 1 species
UACGUAGGGCGCAAGCGUUGUCCGGAAUUAUUGGGCGUAAAGAGCUCGUAGGCGGUUUGUCGCGUCUGUCGUGAAAGCCCACGGCUUAACUGUGGGUCUGCGGUGGAUACGGGCAGACUAGAGGCAGGUAGGGGAGAAUGGAAUUCCCGGUGUAGCGGUGAAAUGCGCAGAUAUCGGGAGGAACACCGGUGGCGAAGGCGGUUCUCUGGGCCGACACUGACGCUGAGUGCGCGAAAGCCAGGGGAGCAAACGGG